CGGCUUUGCAAAGUCCAUCUGCCAGCGCUCGGAGUGGGGUAGACCGAGCAGCGUCUCAUUUCCGAGACACCGUCCACACGGUUGGAUCACAUUACCCGUCGCUUGAGGAGCGAGAUGAUGAUUGGAGCUGCUCCACGUGUGUGAGUGGUCACCACAGAGGACCAACUGGUCCAACUUGGCACAGGUUUUAUGCCGGAUGCCCUUCCUGAUGCAAACCUCCCAUUUUAUCCGGGCUUGGGACCGGCACUGCAUCCAGUGGCUGGGGUUUGGGCACUGGCUGGGAAUCUAUUCUGGGCCUUCUGCAUGGUAGCUAUACACCCCACUCCUGAACUCCCAGUGUUUGCCAGUUUCCAGUGUGACCGCUGCCCUACCCCUGGUCAGAGUCUCGCCGCUUGAUGGUGCCCACUGAUGCUGUGGAUGGAUCUGUGUGGACCAGGAGACAGCCAUGGACAGAGCCACUUGGGGACUUUCACACCAUCACAGAUCUGCCAUUUCAUCUGUCAGCCCGUGACAGCAAAGAACUAGUGUCUAUAAUGACCUUAGAAACUACACUGACCUAAUAGUUCCUCAUGGGCCAUUGAUUGCUGUUGUAGAAAGGACAUUAAUCAGUUACAGUUACAUUAUUUACUGUUUAGUGUCACCCAAAUGAGGAUGGGUUCCCUUCUGAGACUGGUUCCUCUCAAGGUUUCUUCCUUUCCAUCCCAGGGAGUUUUUCCUUGCCACCGUUGCCACAGGCUUCUCAUUAGGGAUAAAAUAGUCUAAUUAUAGAAUUUAAUAAUUUAUUCUUAUUUCUAGUUAAUUAGUUAUUUUUUAUUAUUAUUUUUCAUUUUCCCCUCCCCUUUCUCUGUUUUCUUCUUUUGUAA